rnacentral:tRNA from 1 species
GCCUGGCUGGCUCAGUUGGUAGAGUCUGUGACUCUUGAUAUCAGGGUUGUGAGUUCGAGCCCCAUGUUGGGCA